GGAGGAGGAGGAGGAGGAGGAGGAGGAGGAGGGGAAGGCGCGGAUGGGGAAGGAAGAGGGAAGGGUUAGGGUUAGGGUUUGGGAGAGGGGAGGGUGGUUUAUGCGGAGGCCGGUGUAGGUGGGAGGGGAGGAGACGGGGAGAAGGAGUGGGGAGUGGAGAGAGGUGAACAUGUUUUAUUUUGUGGGGGAGUGUUUUUGGAUGCAGGAGGAGGAGGAGGAGGUG
rnacentral:lncRNA from 1 species